GUCGGGCCCUCGUCAGAGGGCUACAUGGGAAGAGUAGUAGAGUAAUAGACUAUUUGCUCAGCUCCUUUAACUGAACCCAUAGUAACAGUGACUUAAAUGAGAGGGUUAUUUCUGUCUCCUUAAAGUUAAGACUGGUAGGUGGUCCAGAGAGGAAAGACAGCUCUGCUCCAUGAGUCUUCUGGGGCUGUGGUUCCUUCUUUCUUGUUACUUCACUUUCCCCUGGGGUGUUGGUUUGGUCUCCCUAACUGUAGUUAGUACUCAUCCACCACAUCUUCAUAUCAGUGAGGUGGAAAGGGGAAAGAAAGAAGGAAGAGGAAUGGGAAGCAAGCCUCUCCCCUUCUAGGACAUGAUCAGAAAUUUCACACAUCACUCCUCAUAUCCUAUUGGCUGGAACUUGGUCAUAUAGGUAUCCCGAGCUGCAAGCAAGUCUUGGAAAUGGAAUCCCUAGCUGCAUGAUCAUCAGACCAGCUGAAACUUAUAGAUGUGGGGCUUUAUAACUAAUAGGAAUCAGGAUAGAAUGAAUAUUUGGGGACAGUUCAUAACUCUGCUACAGAGAGCCUACAGAGAAUGGCAAAUAUUUCUCUGCUGGAUGAGGUGGGGAUUCAGUGGAGGAAGUGGAACCAUUGUGACCCUAUGGAAUAAAGGACUGUGGGAGCUGAGGAAAAAGGUCUGAACUGGGCAGCUGGAGGAUCAAAGUUUCUAACCAAUGCUUCUAAGACUUCAGGUAGGCAAGGUAAGAACGAGACAUUCUGGAUCUUCAACACCUCUGCGUUUGUCCUUCACCUCAUCUAAACACAACUGACUCAAGACAGCAAUGGCUGUAGCUUUCCUUCUGUUUCUACAGCUCAGAUGAAUUUCUCUUUUGACCAAUUCCAAUAUGAAAUUGCAUAGAAAGGAAUUCUGGGAAAUGUAGUUCUAGGCCAGCCAUGGUGACAGUUACAAACUGCCACAUUCGUGUUUUUGAGAGCAUUGGAGACUGACUUGACAUUGAGAUGGAGCAGAUCUUGGGGUUGCAAGGCUGGAUCCAGCCAAAUCAAAGGACACCGUUGGUCUCUCAGUGGAAUAUGCUCUGGAUUUGCUUGUGUGCUUCCUUCUUUUGUACAUGGAGUGACUGUCCUUCCAGUCCCUUGAGAUUAGCCAAGACCAUGAAGUUUGAUUUGGCUAAUAAAGUGCGAGUAGAAUCAAUUUGCUGGACAGCUGGCUGGCUGCCUCUGGAAAUAUGUUACAGCCUCUGCAAUCGGUGAACUGGACAAGGAUCAGCAGAAGCGCUGUGUCCAGUGCAUUGCCAGGCCAGGAGAAACAAUAUUAUCUCCUUGUGAGAACAGUUUAUUCCUGUCGUGCUUUGAUUUAACCUUACAAGGAAAAAUGGCCAGUUAUGGAGUCAUUUUCCUGAAUAUUCCGUUUGAGCUGCCUGGCGUUCCUUAGUGCUAAAUAGGUAAUAGCCCACAUCUGGAGAAACCUGGUGAGGUCUCCCUGGACACCUUGGCUCUCUGGUUUCAAUCAAAGUGCCUUAUCGGUCUCUCACAAGUGCUCACAAAUGUAGAAAUGAAUUUGCAAAGAGCGAAUGGAAAUGCAGAGCUGAAAAGGAUCCUUUGAUCCAAGCCCCUCAUUAUACAGAUAAGGCAAGGGGAGCUCAGAGAAGGGGAGAGGCUUACCAAAGCCACGCAGCAGAUUAUGGCCAGGACUGCAAUCCAGGUCACUAAGUUAUGGAAGAUGUGCAACAGUGUUUGGUCUGACUCUCAUGAAGCAGACUACUUGUCUGCUCUAUACAUUUUAGCCUUCUAACUAAUCUCCUUGCCUCUGGCUCUCCCCUCACUAAUUAACAUGUACAUGCUGCAAGAUUUAUCUUCUUGGUUGAGCUACUAAUCACAUCUCUUUCUGCUCAAAACUGUUGAGGCUCCUAAAAAAAUAAAGCCCGAACCUCUUGGUAUUGGAGCUACA
ensembl:lncRNA